rnacentral:lncRNA from 1 species
CAUCACACCAGCUAUCUCCUGCUCCCUGUCCUGCACUGCAAAGGAGGCCUUUUCAUCCUCUCUACUGCCUCCAAUUUUUCUCACGAGGAAUGUGAGAGGAAAACCUAGAAUGGGCAGAUGAAUCUCUGAACAAGACAGCUCAUGACACGGUUUAUUGGAGCCUUCCUCAAAACCCAUCCAAGAGAGCUUGUUCCUGAAGCAUGGUGCUAAGUCCAUAUGCAGCAGAUGGAGCUCAUGAGAAAAGAGUUGCUCUUGUGAAGACCAAAGCUUGGAGGAGAUUGCAGAUGGAGGUGUUGUAUGUGACUGUUUUACAUGGAUUCUUCGCUCUGGUAGCAGAUGUUGAAGAAGCUCUAUGAAUGUCCUGUCUCUAUGUCCCAGAAAAAGCAUUCCCAGAAGCACGGAGAAGUGAGGAGAAAAGGCAAUGCACCUGGAGCUGGAGACCAAGGCCCUGUUCUUACUGAUGGCCCUUGGAGCAGAUAUUUGAAUUGGAGAGAUAAAACCGUGGUUUUUGGGGUGUUAAUUUUGGUGGCUGAUGCAUUCUGUGAUUGAUUUGGCUAUUACAACUGGUAUUGAUUUUAAACACAUUAAUUGCAAAAUCUCAAUUGUGAUUUGAUUUCUGUAUUUACAAUACUAAAAACGAGGCUUUCGCCAGGAGAAGACAAUUGGCAGUACUCAGUUGGAAGUGCUUAAUUGUUAAUAUAUAUCAGCCGUGGUUCUUCAGCGUCGUCAGUGUUGCUCAGUCUUGCUCUUUGUGGCGACUACUGAAUGCUUGAAAAAUUCUCUCCUAUACUCCCACUCUGCACUGUAGAAGAGAAAGAGAGGAGAGUGGAAGAAAAAAGAGAGGGAGAGGAGAAAGAAAGAGAGGAGAGAGAAACAUGGGCAUGGAUGAUACAUAAGAUAAUUCCAGAAGAUUUCAGCAUAGCAGAUAAAAUACAGCAAAUCCUAACCAGCACAGGUUUGAGUGACAAACGGGCCGGUUCCAUGGACACAGGUGACUUCAUCAGAUUCAUGAAUUAUCAGGAAAGGAGAGGACCUCUAAUUACACUUUGAGAAGAUGCUUCUAUCCCUCAUUACGCUUUGAAAUUGAAGAAUUUAGAUAUAUUUAAGUCUAUUUCACUCUUUUUAACUGAUAGAUGAAUAAACUGUUCUCUUUAUCAAUGAUCCCUCUUGGAGACCAUUUGGUAUUUCUGCUUUUUGGUUAUUAAUAACAAUGCUUCAAUAAAUGCCUUUGCACAUGUCUCCUUGUAAACAUAUGUAAGGAUUUCCCUGAUGCAGCUAAAACCUAGAAGUAGUUUUAUUGGGGAGAAAGGUUUUACAUUUAUAUUAUCAACAUUUUAAGGUACUACCCAUUUGCUAUUCAGACUGGUUUGAUUGGUUUACACUUCUGCCUAUAAUAAAUGUUUAUUAUUUAUUAUUUAUGAUUACUGUUUAUCCAUCUACUGGCUGGCAUGUGAUGUCAUCACACAAUUUCUGCAAACACAAUGGAUGUGAAAUUGUAUCUGAGUUGCUUAAUUUGUGUUUUCCUGACUACUAGUAAUGUUGAGCAUCUUUUACGUUUUUUAUGUACUUUAUUUUUUACAUUAAAUAAAUUUUGACAAAGAAUUUGUGUCCGAAUGCUAAGUGUUAGAAAAUGAAUUAAGUAUUGGGAAUAAAAAAAAUCAAGAAAAUGGAUAAUAUCCCUGUCCUUACAGAGAUUACAUUGGCCAUAUAUUUUCUUCUUAUGGAUCUUAUCUGCAUAUUUAUGGCCCAUUUUUCUACCACAUUGUUUAUCUUUAUAAAAAAUGAGCUAUAAUAAUUUUAUAUCAUGGAUAUUACUUUUGUGCAUUAUAUCUAUUAUAA